rnacentral:misc_RNA from 1 species
GGAAGUAAAAGUCGUAACGAGGUUUCCGUAGGUGAACCUGCGGAAGGAUCAUUAUUGUAUAACCGAGGUGCGAGGGCUGUCGCUGACCCGAAAGGUCGUGCACGCCCGAGUGCCCUCACACACAUCCAUCUCACCCCUAUGUGCACCACCGCGUGGGUCCCCCUUUGGCUUGUUCGGAGGGGGGCUUACGUUUUCACACAAACUUUGUAUGCAGUGUAGAAUGUAUUUUUUGUUUUUGCGAUCACGCAAUCAAUACAACUCUCAACAACGGAUCUCUUGGCUCUC